GGAAACGGUAGCUAAUACCGCAUAACGUCGCAAGACCAAAGAGGGGGACCUUCGGGCCUCUUGCCAUCGGAUGUGCCCAGAUGGGAUUAGCUAGUAGGUGGGGUAACGGCUCACCUAGGCGACGAUCCCUAGCUGGUCUGAGAGGAUGACCAGCCACACUGGAACUGAGACACGGUCCAGACUCCUACGGGAGGCAGCAGUGGGGAAUAUUGCACAAUGGGCGCAAGCCUGAUGCAGCCAUGCCGCGUGUAUGAAGAAGGCCUUCGGGUUGUAAAGUACUUUCAGCGGGGAGGAAGGGAGUAAAGUUAAUACCUUUGCUCAUUGUAGAGGGGGGUAGAAUUCCAGGUGUAGCGGUGAAAUGCGUAGAGAUCUGGAGGAAUACCGGUGGCGAAGGCGGCCCCCUGGACGAAGACUGACGCUCAGGUGCGAAAGCGUGGGGAGCAAACAGGAUUAGAUACCCUGGUAGUCCACGCCGUAAACGAUGUCGACUUGGAGGUUGUGCCCUUGAGGCGUGGCUUCCGGAGCUAACGCGUUAAGUCGACCGCCUGGGGAGUACGGCCGCAAGGUUAAAACUCAAAUGAAUUGACGGGGGCCCGCACAAGCGGUGGAGCAUGUGGUUUAAUUCGAUGCAACGCGAAGAACCUUACCUGGUCUUGACAUCCACGGAAGUUUUCAGAGAUGAGAAUGUGCCUUCGGGAACCGUGAGACAGGUGCUGCAUGGCUGUCGUCAGCUCGUGUUGUGAAAUGUUGGGUUAAGUCCCGCAACGAGCGCAACCCUUAUCCUUUGUUGCCAGCGGUCCGGCCGGGAACUCAAAGGAGACUGCCAGUGAUAAACUGGAGGAAGGUGGGGAUGACGUCAAGUCAUCAUGGCCCUUACGACCAGGGCUACACACGUGCUACAAUGGCGCAUACAAAGAGAAGCGAACUCGCGAGAGCAAGCGGACCUCAUAAAGUGCGUCGUAGUCCGGAUUGGAGUCUGCAACUCGACUCCAUGAAGUCGGAAUCGCUAGUAAUCGUGGAUCAGAAUGCCACGGUGAAUACGUUCCCGGGCCUUGUACACACCGCCCGUCACACCAUGGGAGUGGGUUGCAAAAGAAGUAGGUAGCUUAACCUUCGGGAGGGCGCUUACCACUUUGUGAUUCAUGACUGGGGUGAAGUCGUAACAAGGUAACCGUAGGGGAACCUGCGGUUG
rnacentral:rRNA from 1 species